rnacentral:tRNA from 1 species
CAUACUAGCUCAGUGGUAGAGCGCUUUCCUCAUAAGAAAGGUGACGUAGGUUCAAAUCCUACAUAUGA